rnacentral:rRNA from 1 species
UACGGGGGGGGCAAGCGUUGUUCGGAAUUACUGGGCGUAAAGGGCUCGUAGGUGGCCAACUAAGUCAGACGUGAAAUCCCCAGGCUUAACCUGGGAACUGCGUCUGAUACUGGAUGGCUUGAAUUCGGGAGAGGGAUGUAGAAUUCCAGGUGUAGCGGUGAAAUGCGUAGAUAUCUGGAGGAAUACCGGUGGCGAAGGCGGCAUCCUGGACCGAGAUUGACACUGAUGAGCGAAAGCUAGGGGAGCAAACGGG